GCCAGUGUGGUGUAGUGAUUUGAAUAUUGGACUAUGACCCUGAAGAUCAGGGUUCAAAUCCCUCCUCAGCCA